GCUUAUCCACAAACACAACCGACGAAGAGCUGCUAUAGGUAAGGUAAAAGUUGGCAACGUCAAUUAGCGAAGUAAGGAUAUAUAAACAAAAUCGAGAAGUCGCCUUAAAAUCUAAAAGCUAAACUAAAUUACAAUUGUUUCUAUUCUAAACUAAAAAUAAUUAUUAUAAAGUUGGGAAGUUCUUAUUACUACAGUGGUUUAUAUUAGCUAGAUUCCCAACAUAAAUUGUUUCGAGCCUAACCCUAAUUCCCAUCUAACGUAAAAAGCGCACAAUCACGAAAUCGACAGAAAGCUACGAACGACCACAUAAGGGACUAAAC